rnacentral:lncRNA from 1 species
CGGGGUCGCUGCCGGAGCCGGAGAAACCCAGGAAGGGCAAGAAGGAAAAGCCCCCCAAGAAACCCAAGGAGAGACCCCGGGGCCCCAAGAAGGACAAGGACAAGGACAAGGAGCGGGGCAAGAGCAAACCCCCCAAGAAACCCAAGGAGAAGCCACCCAAAGGCUCUGAAAAAAACCCAAAAGGCUCAGAAAAACCCCAAAAAGGCUCCGAAAAGCCCCCAAAAGGCUCUAAAAAGCCCAAGGAGAAGCCACCCAAGGCCACCAAGGCCUCUGGCAAGAAGCCACCAGUGGCACCGAGCCCCCCCACUAUCCAGCAGCCCUCGCAGGGCAAGGAGGAUGAAGAGAUACCCGAGUUCCUGGAGCCUUCUCACAAGGAGGAGGAGGAGGAGGAUGGAGGUGUCCGAGGAGAGCAGGAGGAGCCGGGCCGGGAGGACUGGAGCCCUGAGCCAGAGGUCCCCGAGGAGCCGGAGCCCCCGACCCUGGACUACAACGAGCAGCUGGAGCGGGAGGACUACGAGGACUUCGAGUUCAUCCGGAGGCAGCAGAAGCCCCCCAAGCCCCCGGGCAGGAGGAGACCCGAGCGGGUGUGGCCCCAGCCCGAGGAGACACGUA